GAAGCCGGAAACGGUGGCGCUGCAGGCGGCGGCGUGGAAGCCGGAGACGGUGGCGCUGCAGGCGGAGGCGCUGCGGACGGAGGCGUGGAAGCCGGAAACGGUGGCGCUGCAGGCGGUGAUGGAGCCGCCGCAGCUGCUGCUGCUGGUGCAGGCGGUGAUGGAGCUGCUGCUGCAGGUGGUGAUGGAGCUGAUGCAGCCACUGGUGCAGGCGGUGAUGCAGCCACUGGUGCAGGCGGUGAUGCAGCCACUGGUGCAGGCGGUGAUGGAGCUGAUGCAGCCGCUUGUGCAGCUGGUGAUGGAGCUGAUGCAGCUGCAGGCGGUGGUGGUAGCUGGAUGGGCUCCUCGGUCCCCCCAGCGAAAGCAGCAGGCUGAAGCGGUCCCUGAGACCCCUCAGUUGAAGCUGCUGAUGACAGUGAAGGCUGGACGGGCUCCUCGGUCCCCCCAGCGAAAACAGGCUCAAAACCAGUAGGCAUGGAAGCCCCUGGCACACACAAAACAAAACCAGAAGGCUCGUGGGCCUCUGGUACACGUGAGAAGGGCUGUAGCUGCACAGAGCCCUGACCCUGCUCAGGCAGUGACAGCCGGGUGCAGUCCACAGCUGGCAACUUGGCCUCCAGGGGUCCAGAGUUAGCUGAGGGUUGUAACCCAGCCUCUGGGGAAGCCCUGGAGCGAGUAACAGUCUCUAAUGUUGUCAGCUUUAGAGGAACAGGUCCAUUUUGAAACAGCAAGUCUCCCUGCUCAGAAACAGCGGUGGAAAAACAGUCCUUUAAGGGGUGCAUGGGCAUAGCUUCCUGUAGAGGGGCGAGUGAAGCUCGUGACUGAGUUAUGGACUGAAAUGUGGGUUGUAGUGAUGCUAGUGGUGAAGGUAGCUGAGUGGCAGGCAGAACAGGAAAUUGUGCACCUAGGGAGGCUAACGGUUGAGCUCCAGAAUGGGACGCAAAUGGCUGUGCUACUGACUGGGGAGCUAACGGCUGAAGACAAAACUGAGCUGGAGAGUGGCAAUAAAGUCCAGGCUCGGAAGGAGCGGCAGAGACACAGGCUUUAGGUUUAACAGAAGGUUUAUAGACACCCACUUGGGAAGGGUCCGUUACCACAAAGGUAGGUAAUCUACACAUACUGUCUCUCAUCCCACUCUGAAUCGCCCCAGAAAACAAAGUCCCGGAAUCCGGGGAAACCACAGUAUCCCGUUCACUCACCGCAUCUGGCUGCUCGAACGUGCAUGCAGACGGGGGAUGAAGUCCUAAAUCUAAAAGGAGAAAUUCCUGCUCCCACGGACAUAGCGAGUCCAGAAGCCAUGGGAGACCGGUCACCAGACGCUGUAGCCGCCUCUCUAAAGCGCGCUGGGAUUCGUCAUCCUGGCUUUCCAGCCACAGAUCGAUGAGUUCUUGUGUGGCAUCGAUAAGAGUCUCACGUAGCUCCUUAGAUGGGUUAAUUGCUGCUGGGUCCAUCUUGUGGUCGCGUCGUACUGUCACAACUGGGGCAGCAGUCGUGUGAUGAAUAAAUGAGGACCCAAGAUGCAGACGGAGAUGGAGAUGCGAGUGGAGGUUUAUUUACAGUGAAAAUAACAGAAGUGAGGGCAGGACUGAACAUAAACCUAAACUGGGUGAAACUAACAAACAAACCUGGACAUAAGGUCAGCAGGAGAAACUCAGAGAUGGCAGAACAGGGAGACGGAGAGAAACAUAGGGAAUGAACACAGACGACGCGACGAGGAGCACAGGCAGACACGCAGUAUAAAUACACACAUCAGGUAAUCAGGAAAUGGCACACAGGAGGGGACACAGCUGGAACUAAUGGACAUAACGAGACACAAACCUACAAAGUAAAACAGGAAACUCACAGACUGUUUUACACAACCAACAGGGGACACGAAAAGGAGAGGCACAGGCCAGUCUGGAUCAAAACAACUGGGAACAGGUCGGUCUUUAGUGAAUGCCAUCGGGAGUGACUCAGCUCUCAUCAGAGGUACUGUGGCAGCAACCUGUUUCAGUGUGGCCCUGCCAUUAUCAUCAAUCAUGAGACAGAAACUGUGUAUAAAGCCAACGGGGAUAAUAUGAUGUCAAGUCAGUUAAUAGACAGUUUCCAACUUGUUCUCCUAUCACAACUUUUUUCCCUUUAUUGGAGUUCAUUUAUACCUUUCUUUUGCUACACCUCAGUGCAGAGGAUCUGGCAGUGAAAUGAUGAUUAAAACUGAACUGCAUGUUGUGCAAAUGAAAGCCCACAGCUGCCUCUCAAACAGCUUGACUGUGACUGAAUACAAAAAGGAAAAUGUGGCUAAUUAGAAUAAAAAUUAUGUUCGACUCCAA